UGGGGAAUAUUGGACAAUGGGCGCAAGCCUGAUCCAGCCAUGCCGCGUGAGUGAUGAAGCCCCUAGGGUUGUAAAGCUCUUUCACCGGUGAAGAUAAUGACGGUAACCGGAGAAGAAGCCCCGGCUAACUUCGUGCCAGCAGCCGCGGUAAUACGAAGGGGGCUAGCGUUGUUCGGAUUUACUGGGCGUAAAGCGCACGUAGGCGGACUUUUAAGUCAGGGGUGAAAUCCCGGGGCUCAACCCCGGAACUGCCUUUGAUACUGGAAGUCUUGAGUAUGGUAGAGGUGAGUGGAAUUCCGAGUGUAGAGGUGAAAUUCGUAGAUAUUCGGAGGAACACCAGUGGCGAAGGCGGCUCACUGGACCAUUACUGACGCUGAGGUGCGAAAGCGUGGGGAGCAAACAGG
rnacentral:rRNA from 1 species